UACGAAGGGGGCUAGCGUUGCUCGGAAUUACUGGGCGUAAAGGGAGCGUAGGCGGACAUUUAAGUCAGAGGUGAAAUCCCGGAGCUUAACUUCGGAACUGCCUUUGAUACUGGGUGUCUUGAGUGUGAGAGAGGUAUGUGGAACUCCUAGUGUAGAGGUGAAAUUCGUAGAUAUUAGGAAGAACACCAGUGGCGAAGGCGGCUCACUGGCCCGGUACUGACGCUGAGGCGCGAAAGCGUGGGGAGCAAACAGG
rnacentral:rRNA from 1 species